UUUUUUUUUUUUUUUGUCUUAAAACCGGGAUCUCUAUGGAUAAGCACAAGCGGUUGGCCGUCUGAAAUGGAUCUGAAGGCAAAUAGAUUCAACUAUAAAUGCACCUUCUAUUCGAAAAGGCCGAGCGGAAUGCCAUGAGUACAGUCGAAAGGCGGGGAAGGAUUGUUCCGGCCAAGUUUAUGGAGCCGAAACAAGGUGUGGAUAAUUCUGAUUUGAACAGAAAGAUUGAAGAACCUUUAAUCUCUAGCGCGAAGCCAAAGAUUAACCGUAGGGGUUUAAGUUUGUGUCCCGCGGAGAUAUUCGCCGAAGCCAGACCUCGACAGCCAGAUAAGCCUGAAAUCACGCCGGUCCAACCAAUUCAAAGUCGUCGGAAAUCAUGCUUUUGGAAGCUUCAAGACAUUGACGAGUUGAAAGUGGCAAAAGAAAGGGGUAAGAGUCUGAGUGUUAGCCCAAAAUCGCGGAAAACUUUAUCGAAGUUUCAAGCUCCAAAGCAGGCCGCAACCACAGUUGGGUCUAAAGGGCCUGUCAAGAAAGAAAAUCGGUUUCUUGCAUCAAUUCAACCAAAAAAGCUGUUCAAGGAUGGAGAAAAGUUGUCGACGGCAAAGAAAUCGUCUCUCUCUCAACUUUUUCAUGGAGUCAGCCAUGACUUUUGCUUCUCAGCACUUAUUAAAUAGCAACUGACAAGAUUAAUAAAAGAGAAAUGCUUUUUACAGUCGGGCUGGGGAGACGCUGCGGAGUCGUGUCCGACGUGGCACCAGUUUUAUUGAAACGGUGCGUUUCGUCGGGUAGGGUUAACCAAGCGUUCCCUCCCUCAUGUUUCGUCUCGUGCUCUUUCAUUUCUUCCCUCCCUCAUUUUCACCAGAAUCACCAUCCCCCAUUUCCCCUUUCCCCUUCUCUUCGAAUGCGACUGCUUCGAUUCCAUCUCGUUCUCCAGCUUCGAUUCGACCAUUCCAUUUCUGAGGUUAUUUUUAGUGUAUAUUUCUCUGUUUUUGAGGUUAUUUGUGGUGUAUAUUUCUGAGAGAAUUUGAGAGAAAUAGUUCUCUUGGUUUGAUUUCACCAUCUCGAACCGUGGUACUCUUCAUCAAAAAAUUUCCCCAAUGUCUGUUUCUGAGGUUAUUUUGGGUGUAUAUUUCUAUUCUCUUCGAUUGAUUUCACCAUCUCCUUUCGUCGUACUCUUCAUCUGAUAAAAUCCAAGUCUGUUUUUGAGGUUAUCGUGGGUGUAUAUUUCUGUUGUCUUCGUUCGACACGGGCCAUCUCCUUCCGUCAUUCUCUUCAUCUAAGAAAAUCCAAGUCUGUUUUUGAGGUUAUUUUGGGUUGGGAUUUCUGUUCUUUUCGUUCAACACGGGCCAUCUCCUUCUGUCGUCCUCUUCAUCUGAGAAAAUCUAAGCCCUAAAAUUUCCCCAAUUUUUUCCCGAAAACCCUAACCCUCAAGUUUCCCCAAUUUUUUUACGCAAAAACCCUAACCCUAAUUUUCCCUUUACCCGAAAUGCCUAAAAUUUCUCCAAUUUUAUCCCCAAAACCCUAACCCUAAAAUUUUCCCUUUCCGAAAUGCCUAAAAUUUCCCCAAUUUUAUCCCCAAAACCCUAACCCUAAAAUUUUCCCUUUCCGAAAUGCCUAAAAUUUGCCCAAUUAAUACCCCAAAACCCUAACCCUAACAUUUCCCCAAUGUUUUUCCGAAACCCUAACCCUAAAAUUUUCCAUUUUCCCGAAGGCUCUAAAAUUUCUCCAUUUUUUAACUGGAAACCCUAACCCUAAAAUUUCCCCUUUUUCCUAAAACCUAACCCUAAAAUAUCCCGACAUGGUCUUAUUCUCGAGAUGACUGACUGAUUCGCCUAAAGUUUGGUUUGAUUGAGUGUGCAAGAACCCUGACUCCAAUCAGUUCUGUCUGGUUUGGAUUGCUACAUUAUUGUGUUUGAAUUUGAGAAAAUCAGUUCUAAUAUUUGUUACAUUAUUGUGUUUGAAUUUGAGGAAAUCAGUUCUAAUAUUUGUUACAUUAUUGUGUUUGAAUUUGAGGAAAUCAGUUCUAAUAUUUGUUUUGGAUUGCUACAUUAUUGUGAUUUAGUUUAAGUAAAUCAGUUAUGUUAUUUUGUUUGGAUUGCUACGUUAUUGUGGUUCAAGUUAAGUAAUGUAUUUUAACUUAAGUAAAUCAGGUAUGUUUUUUGGUUUGGAUUGCUACAUUAUUGUGUUUUAAUUUACGUAAAUCAGUUUGUGUGUUGGUUUGGAUUGAUACAUUAUUGUGUAUUAAUUUAAGUAAAUCAGUUUUAAUUUAAUUAAAUCAGUUCUAUUUUUUUAUUUGCAUUAUUGUGUAUUAAUAUCGAGGUGCUUUAAUGGUAGCUUUAUCAAGUUGGUUGACGGUGGCUAUUGUUACUCCAUGCUAUUUAUAUUGAGGAAAAGUGGUUCUGUUUUCUAGUGUAGAAGAUGUACAUUAUUGUGUAUUCAUUUAAUGAAGCAUCUAAUGGUGGCUUUGUGAAACUGGUUGAUGGUUGCUAUUGUUACUCCAUGCUGUUAGAAUUCUCUUAAAUUAAUUCUGUUUUUUAAUUUGGAAGAGGUACAUUAUUGUGUAUUCAUUUAACGAAGCAUAUAAUGGUGGCUUUGUGAAACUGGUUGAUGGUUGCUAUUGUUACUCCAUGCUGUUAGAAUUGAAGUAAAUCAAUUCUGUUUUUUAAUUUGGAAGAGGUACAUUAUUGUGUAUUCAUUUAAUGAAGCAUAUAAUGGUGGCUUUGUGAAACUGGUUGAUGGUUGCUAUUGUUACUCUAUGCUGUUCGAAUUGAAGUAAAUCAAUUCUGUUUUUUGAUUUGGAAGAGGUACAUUAUUGUGUAUUCAUUUAAUGAAGCAUAUAACUUUAUCUUUGCCUUAUUGGUUGAUGUUAGCUAUUGUAAAAUGUUUUUAUUUUUUUCUGCUGUUUAGAUUAUUGUAUUGUGAAUCUGGUUUUGGUUAGAAUGUCAUCAUCAUCAAUGUCUUCUGCAUCUGUUGAUAAUCGUACUUUGAGUACACCAGUGUGCUUCUGUGAGGUGGAAGCCACACUGAAAUACUCAAAUACUAGAAGAAAUCCUGGCCGGCCUUUUUUAGGAUGUUGAAAGUACAACACUGAGGGACUACCGUACUGCAAAUUUUUCAAGUGGGCAGAUAGUGAAGACAUAGAACAAGACCUUCUGAAAAGGAAAAAUGAUUUGCUAAGGAAAGAGGCAGACCUGGUCAAGAUGCUCGAGGAUAUUGAGAAAAGGGAGAUUCAGCUCCGAAAGAAAGCGGAUGAGAUCGAGAAGAAGGAGAUUUUGCUGGCUAGCCUAAAUGAGGAGAUUAUGAAAAAAGAGUGGAUGCUUCUUCAGCAACAAGCAGAAAUCAGGCGCUCCCGCACACUAUUCAGGUUGUUUUGGGCUGUAGUCAUUUUUUUGAUUUGUUACAUACUAGUAUGUAAGUGAUGUUGGAUUGUAUGUUGGAUUGUACUAAGGUUAUUGAGAAAAAUGUGUAAUUGCAUUUACUGUUAAGUAAGUCAGAAGUAGAUGGUAGAAUGGCAUAAAUUGUAUUUUGGUCAAUUUGAACAGGAUAUUGGUGUAAUUGUAUGACACCAAUUUGAACCUAUGUGAUACGGAAU